rfam:Lupinus angustifolius cultivar Tanjil chromosome LG11, whole genome shotgun sequence.
GACAAGUAACCGUAGCUUGUAACCCAAGUGGGGGCAUUAAGGUGAUGGAACAUGACUAUGUCAUGCUAGGUGGGAUUGGUUGAGCAAAUGUUGGCCUGCCCACUCCAAGUCGAGAGUUGAGGCAUGGUGUUUGUGUGAAGACACAAGUAUCAUGUCUCCUAGACAAGAGGGCAAAGCGUGAGGCUGGUUUUACAUAGCAGCGAACACCUCUAACUCUUGACAGUGGAGGGAUCAUAGGCUGUUGUUAUACCAUUCCACAUGUCUGGUUUGUCAAAGUUAACUUGAACCAUAA